CACGUAGGGCGCGAGCGUUGUCCGGAAUUAUUGGGCGUAAAGAGCUCGUAGGCGGCCUGUUGCGUCCGCUGUGAAAGCCCGGGGCUUAACCCCGGGUCGGCAGUGGAUACGGGCAGGCUAGAGGUAGGUAGGGGAGAAUGGAAUUCCCGGUGUAGCGGUGAAAUGCGCAGAUAUCGGGAGGAACACCGGUGGCGAAGGCGGUUCUCUGGACUGUGAUUGACGCUGAGGCGCGAAAGCGUGGGGAGCAAACAGGG
rnacentral:rRNA from 1 species